rnacentral:lncRNA from 1 species
CUCUCCAUAUUCCAACCAAAAACACAAAAACUGCAGAACAGAGAGAGAUAUGCCAAAGAAAUGUCAUCCCAAAAAUCAAGAAUGCGUCCACUCCAUCGUGGCCUAGUUUCAAGAAUUCUUCCUUCAUCUGAUGCAAAAGAAAAUCUUCUUUCCAAUGAUUUCCUUCUCAGUUGGCUAGAUGCGCUGCUCUCAGCAGCUGUCAUCUGAAGUUGUGCUUCCUCAUCUAACUCAGUAUCAUAAUCUUUUCCA